rnacentral:lncRNA from 1 species
UUCUGAGUUUAAACCAAAGCUUCGCUCCUGCGUUCUGAGAUGCACCGCCAGCCAGUCUUGUCUGCAUCAUUUGCAUCAUAGCAUGUUUAUUUUCAAAAAAGAAUACGCAAAAAAAAAAAAGAGAAAAAAAGAAUUGAAAAAAAAGAAAAGAGAAAAAAGAAAAGUUAAUCUUUGCAUGCAUAUCAUUUCUCAGGUACAUUCCAGAGUCUGUUCACUGAUAGAG